UGUACCAUUACAGCUUGGUGCACUGAGGGAUUUUGCCUAGGUUGCAAGUCUGCUAGCAUUUGGCUUAGAUUUCAAAGCAAUGUAGUAAGCAAGCCAAAGGUCAGCUGGCAGUUGAAUUGGCUAUGUUACAGUUAUGUGUCUUAGGUUUAUUAUGUAAAAUUCCAGUUCAUGUAUCAUGAUUGAUUUAAAUGAAUGGCUCCCCUGCAAGCUGUUUUGGUCUAAGUGUUUAUUGAUGAUGGCAAGGCUAGUGGAUUUGCAACAGGUAUGAGGAUCAUGAUGUCCCAAGUCCAACUUGGCCAGUACUGCAGCAGCAGGUAAGGUACUCCUUGAUGCAUAAUGGUUUUCACACUACAGCUCAUGAGAGUGGUGGUUAUGUAUGACUUGGUCUUUAUUGUCACAACUGAUGGCUUUGCUAACAAGAUGAUAGGCUAACACACUCCAAGGCCUGGCACGGUGUGCAGCUAGUAUUGGUGCAAUCCUGUAGGCUAGUAUGUGCAUAGCUUGACAAUUCAAUGAGUAGAGCUUGUUGAUGAUGAUGAUGGCAUGAUAAGCUUGAUGGUUCCAUGAUAGUUCAGGAUAGUGGUAUGGAGUUUCAAAGUUUGGACUGCUCCUUAUAUUCUAUUAUCUCAUAGAACUAUUGGCAUGAUGGUUUGGUGCAUCUCAUGGGAUAUCCGUCCUUGGUUUAAACAAUGCCUUAGCAUGUACCUUGUGGUAUUCUGAUUUUGUUUGAUGGCUUUUUCUAACAGGCCAGUUGCUGUGGACUUACAACUUCGGAUGCAUUUGUCUGUUUUGGGUGUCAUGGCUGAACCAGGGAGGAUCUUCUGUUGCUCAAGGCUUAUGCUGGCUUAAUGUUCAUGUACUAGUUCUGCAGCAGGUGCUCGUGGAUAAUAGGUUGGUUUGUGAUGCAUUGUGAAUUGGUACAAGUUUGUUCAAAUGGAAUUGCUUCAAAUCAUUUGCUCUAAGUUCAGUCAUCACGCCAUGACCUUAUGGAAUUCAAGUUUCGAUUUGGCAGCUGCAGGACCAUGAUGACAGGAUG